UACGUAGGGGGCAAGCGUUGUCCGGAUUUAUUGGGCGUAAAGAGCGUGUAGGCGGUUUGGUAGGUCCGCUGAUGAAAACUCGAGGCUCAACCUCGAGACGUCGGUUGAAACCACCUGGCUAGAGUCCGGAAGAGGAGAGUGGAAUUCCCGGUGUAGCGGUGAAAUGCGCAGAUAUCAGGAGGGAACACCGGUGGGCCGAAAGGCGGGUCUCUGGGCCGGAACUGACGCUGGAGGAGCGGAAAGCAUGGGGAGCGAACAGG
rnacentral:rRNA from 1 species